CUGAAGGAAAAGAGUGGCAAGACUGUCGCUGGCUUGAAAGAGCAUGUGCACGUCUUCUGCUGCUUGAUUCAUUCUCUUUCCACCUGUGCACUUUUUGUAGACACUUGGGAAUUCAAAAAAGUUCUCUGGGUGUCUAUGUACUUUUUUGAUACACGCAUUUGAAUGUCUAUAGAAUGAGUUUGUAGGCUGUUUUUUUGAUGGCCUUUAAAUGAUAAAGUA
rnacentral:misc_RNA from 1 species